rnacentral:rRNA from 1 species
UGGGGAAUAUUGCACAAUGGGCGCAAGCAUGAUGCAGCCAUGCCGCGUGUAUGAAGAAGGCCUUCGGGUUGUAAAGUACUUUCAGCGCGGAGGAAGGCGUUGUGGUUAAUAACCGCAACGAUUGACGUUACUCGCAGAAGAAGCACCGGCUAACUCCGUGCCAGCAGCCGCGGUAAUACGGAGGGGGCAAGCGUUAAUGGGAAUUACUGGGCGUAAAGCGCACGCAGGCGGUCUGUCAAGUCGGAUGUGAAAUCCCCGGGCUCAACCUGGGAACUGCAUCCGAAACUGGCAGGCUAGAGUCUUGUAGAGGGGGGUAGAAUUCCAGGUGUAGCGGUGAAAUGCGUAGAGAUCUGGAGGAAUACCGGUGGCGAAGGCGGCCCCCUGGACAAAGACUGACGCUCAGGUGCGAAAGCGUGGGGAGCAAACA